rnacentral:rRNA from 1 species
GAUGAACGCUGGCGGCGUGCUUAACACAUGCAAGUCGAACGGUGAAGCAGGAGCUUGCUCUUGUGGAUCAGUGGCGAACGGGUGAGUAACACGUGAGCAACCUGCCCCUGACUCUGGGAUAAGCGCUGGAAACGGCGUCUAAUACUGGAUAUGUGAUGUGACCGCAUGGUCUGCAUCUGGAAAGAAUUUCGGUUGGGGAUGGUCUCGCGGCCUAUCAGCUUGUUGGUGAGGUAAUGGCUCACCAAGGCGUCGACGGGUAGCCGGCCUGAGAGGGUGACCGGCCACACUGGGACUGAGACACGGCCGAGACUCAUACGGGAGGCAGCAGUGGGGAAUAUUGCACAAUGGGCGGAAGCCUGAUGCAGCAACGCCGCGUGAGGGAUGACGGCCUUCGGGUUGUAAACCUCUUUUAGCAGGGAAGAAGCGAAAGUGACGGUACCUGCAGAAAAAGCACCGGCUAACUACGUGCCAGCAGCCGCCGUAA